GAGGAAUCAUUGGGAUCAUCAUACUCAUCUGCCUGGUUGUCACUGUGUGCACUCUCAUGUUUCUCAAGUGGUUUAAGUCGACACAUCCACAACAGACUGAGAGUCAAACAGGUGAAGAAGAGCUAGCUAAAACAGAAGAAGAAGGGAUCCAUUAUGGAGAGAUCAACUUCUCCAAGCAGAGACCUGGACAGUCCUCUGACUCAGUGCAGGCCAGCAGAGAGCAGCAGGAUAUUGUGUAUGAACAGGUCAAAGUGUCCACGCCACAGACUGCUGAC